rnacentral:rRNA from 1 species
AUUGAACGCUGGCGGCAUGCCUUACACAUGCAAGUCGAACGGUAACAGGUCUUCGGAUGCUGACGAGUGGCGAACGGGUGAGUAAUACAUCGGAACGUGCCUAGUAGUGGGGGAUAACUACUCGAAAGAGUGGCCAAUACCGCAUGAGAUCUACGGACGAAAGCAGGGGAUCGCAAGACCUUGUGCUACUAGAGCGGCCGAUGGCAGAUUAGGUAGUUGGUGGGAUAAAAGCUUACCAAGCCGACGAUCUGUAGCUGGUCUGAGAGGACGAUCAGCCACACUGGGACUGAGACACGGCCCAGACUCCUACGGGAGGCAGCAGUGGGGAAUUUUGGACAAUGGGCGAAAGCCUGAUCCAGCAAUGCCGCGUGCAGGAUGAAGGCCUUCGGGUUGUAAACUGCUUUUGUACGGAACGAAAAGCCCCGGGUUAAUACCCUGGGGUCAUGACGGUACCGUAAGAAUAAGCACCGGCUAACUACGUGCCAGCCGCCGCGGUAA